GAUGAACGCUAGCUACCGGCUUAACACAUGCAAGUCGAGGGGAAACGGCAUUGAGUGCUUGCACUCUUUGGACGUCGACCGGCGCACGGGUGAGUAACGCGUAUCCAACCUUCCCAUUACUGUGGGAUAACCUGCCGAAAGGCCGACUAAUACCGCAUAGUCNUCGAUGACGGCAUCAGAUUUGAAGUAAAGAUUUAUCGGUAAUGGAUGGGGAUGCGUCUGAUUAGCUUGUUGGCGGGGUAACGGCCCACCAGGGCGACGAUCAGUAGGGGUUCUGAGAGGAAGGUCCCCCACAUUGGAACUGAGACACGGUCCAAACUCCUACGGGAGGCAGCAGUGAGGAAUAUUGGUCAAUGGACGGAAGUCUGAACCAGCCAAGUAGCGUGCAGGAUGACGGCCCUAUGGGUUGUAAACUGCUUUUGUAUGGGGAUAAAGUCAAUCACGUGUGAUUGUUUGCAGGUACCAUACGAAUAAGGACCGGCUAAUUCCGUGCCAGCAGCCGCGGUAAUACGGAAGGUCCAGGCGUUAUCCGGAUUUAUUGGGUUUAAAGGGAGCGUAGGCUGGAUAUUAAGUGUGUUGUGAAAUGUAGACGCUCAACGUCUGACUUGCAGCGCAUACUGGUUUCCUUGAGUACGCACAACGUUGGCGGAAUUCGUCGUGUAGCGGUGAAAUGCUUAGAUAUGACGAAGAACUCCGAUUGCGNAGGCAGCUGACGGGAGCGCAACUGACGCUUAAGCUCGAAGGUGCGGGUAUCANACAGG
rnacentral:rRNA from 1 species